GUAGACCUGGUUGCAGUAUGCCAUUUUUGGAUUCGAUUUUCAUGUAAUUUGAGUCUACUCAGUUCUGAAAGACUUUCCAUACUUUAAAGGAAAAAAGAGAAGGCAAAUCUACUUCUAGAAAGAACUUAUUACUACAUCUGUGACAUCUCUGAGAAUUGUAUCCAAAAACAUACGAGGGAAUUAACUGCAUCCAUUCAGUGACAACUGCACCAUUACAAAGAAAGGAUAGGCAUAAAACUCAAUGACCAAAAAGCUAUGAAGCAGUUCCCUCCUUCUCUCACUGACCGGUAACCCAAACACCCAGGAAAAAACAAUUGCAGAAUAUAGGAUAUGUGACAGGGGUGAAAUUGCAACAGCAUCAUAAGCCCAAAUGUCUCGAUAAAACUAAACUAAUUUUUUCCUAAUAUAAUAUGAAAGACCACUAAUGACAAAACACUUGAGUAAUAGAAGUCAUUCAGAGACUCAGAAAGAAAGAAAGAAAGAAAGAAAGAAAGAAAGAAAGAAAGAAAGAAAGAAAGAAAGAAAGAAAGAAAGAAAAAAAGAAAGAAAGAAAGAAAAGAGAAGAGAAGAAAGGAAGGGAGAAAGGGAGGCAAAAAAGGGGAAAUAAUAAGAGAAAAAAAAGAACAAAAAAAGAAAAAGUCCUACUGCUCUGCCUGUUUUUAAUACUGACACCCCAUAAACAAAUCUGUCCCUGGGAUAUGAUACAGAGGCCUGGAGUCUGUGACCUCCUUUCUGAAUCUAUCAGGAGACACAGCCCACACCAAAACACCAGGAGUGUUGCUUCUGCCAAAUAUCCUUUACUAACUUCAAAGAAAGAACGGGGAAAGAGCUGUAAUAAUGCUUAACACGAAAUACUGCCUUUCUGCUUCCUUUCCUUUCCCCAUAGACUGAAUGAACUGUCAUUAUAAGACAACAUACUGCUGAGUUAAUGUAACUUAAAAAUUUACAGCAGGUUGUAUGCCUGGAGGCACAUUAUGGGGCCACCUGUAGGCAUCUAAUUCCAGUGAAAAUAAUAAAUAAUUGUGGAGCAUUCCUCAGAGUCUAGAGAGAGUGGAUAAGAAUCGUGUUGCUUGUUCACUCCAACAUGGAUUCUGUUGUGGAGGAGGAUUAGAGAACUGAACUCUCUCCAACAAAUGAGUAAUCCUUCUCCCCACAAAAGAGUCCGCUAAAUGCUACACCAGACACCUGGGUGCCAGAUCUACACAGCCAUUUUUGUGCACUUCUGAUAAUCCACCUGCAGAAAUUGCCACUUGGCAAUUGCUUAAUAUAGCACGUUGAUCCAUUUGAGGACUUUUUUUAAACAGUAAAGAAAGCUAUUUUGUUUGUCUCUCUGUAUGCUGUUUAUCUUUUUGAAACUCCUCCUCACAUUUUGGCAAAGAUAGUGACAGUAAGAAUAUCUGUGAUAUGCCUCCAAUCACUUAUUUGGGAGAAAUUAGUAUGUGUAUUUUAGCAAUGCUCAGCAACCUUGACCUUUUUUUCACUGGAAAGAAAAAUAAAUUUACUACAGAGCUGCUUUUUUUUUUUAAAAAAAGAAAAAAGAAAGAAAAGGCCAAAGGAUUUGUUAUCGUGCUUUUGCCACAAGGUAGGUGGGUUAGUAUUUAUCCUGUGACUACUCAGAGUAUGCAUGUUGUUUAUUUUAGAUAAGAUAAAAUAUUCUAAGAUAGAGAAAUUUUACAUAUAUGUGUGUCUAUACAUAUAUAACAUGAACUUUUAUUAAGCAGGUUUCAAAAGAUAGUCUAAUUUUUGUUCAGUUGGGUUAUAAAUUACUUAUAAACUUUACUAAUGUAGUCCUCAUCUUACAGCCACUGCAAAUACGGUUUGGGUUUAAAAUCUAUGACAACCUUUGAUCAUAACAAUCACAUGGUUUGGAAUUAAGAAAACUAGAUUGAAAUGAUCAUGUAAGUAAGUAGUGAAGAUUGGAUGCUCGGUGGUAUUCAGGUUCACAUUUCCUUUCCAUUUGUACUACACGAAGGGUUAAUAAGGUUUGCAUAACCUUAUUCUUUGAAGGCUUUUUGGCAGAGGCAGACUAUUUAAGGAUUGCUGCCAAAACAGAUUUUAACCCUUUUAAUCAUACUGUUAAUAACCACAUUGUGCACGGUACAGAGCAUACUGCACAUAAGGCAAUAUCACUCUGAACACAGUUUGACCUGAUACCCAAUCAAGGAAAGGUUCCUAGAGACGCUUGCCAUUUUGGUUGCUAUGGUGAGUUUCAUAUUUUGUGGAAACCACUGCUAGAUGUCUUAAAAUAGAACUUUGUCAAGAAAAACAUUGGUCCAGUGGCAUAUGCUGGCAGAGCCUACCAAGGUUGCUCAAAUUCCCUUCCUUUGUUUUUCACUCUCCCCACUGGGGCAACUGUUCCAAGCAUCAGCCCACUAGUCUGGCAGGCAGAGAAUCCAGAAACUUGCUGCUAAUUACAAUGUUGACAAUUCCCAACCUGUUUACUGGCGCCAGCAAUCAAACCGCAUCCUCUCGAGUGAACCAAAAAGCACUUGCUGGCUUUAGCUUCCUGAGGUUCCAAGCUGGCUAUAUUAAUUACUGUUAACUUAAAACUGUAUGUUGUACAGAAGAAGCUUAAUUAGCUGGUAUGAGGAUUAAUAUCUAUCCUUUACACAAUUUAAAACAUUUUGUUCUUGGCCAAAUUAUGUGAAUCCAUAAAAUAUUUUUCUUUGGACAAAAUAUUGAUUAUUUUAGGUGUGGCUUCUCAGUGCCAAUUUUUCCACUGGAUUAUUUUCAGUUGAGCAAGACAAUAGAUUUUAAAAAGUUAGUCUGUCUGUCUAUCUACCUACCUAUCUUGGGAUUAUAUCUACAACCUUUUUAAAAAACUUUAGAAAGAGAAUGAACAUAGUUAUUUACAGUUAUUGUUUAUAAUUAAUAAAAUAGGAAAACCUAUUAAAUGGGAUUAAAUGGUCAAAAGGAUAUCAACUUUCUAUCUUGAUGAAUUUAAAACAAAGAUAGUUACACCAUUUUUCUAGUGAACCCUCAAUGCUAUGAUAGAGGAAUGAUUUGGUAGUCAUAUGGCACAUAAUGGUGUAUGUAUCAAUGACAGGCUAGAUAUACAAUGGUGAUCCCAUAAACUUGUAAUACUGUAUUCCUACUAUACCUUUUCUAUAUUUAGAGUGUUUAGAUUCACAAAUACUUACCAUUGUGUUACAAUGGGCUACAUUAUUCAGUAUAGUAACAUGUGGCUGUACAGGUUUCCAGCCUAAGAGCAGUAGGCUGCCAUACAGUCUAGGUGUAUAGUAGGCUAUACCAUAUAGGUUUCUGUAAGUACAUUCUAGGUUGUUACUACAAUGCCAAAAUUGCCUAAGGAUGUGUUUCUCAGAAUGUAUCCUUGUUGUUAAGCAACAUAUGUACGAGGAGCAUGCUUCACGAUUGAUAAGUUGGUUGAACCCACAGUGCAAAAUCACCUUCUCAAACCCCUAAAUUGUUAGCAUUGCAAGUAACCCAGAUGUGGCAGUGGCAGACCACAAUGCAAUUUUCAUAAAUAGCACAACAGAAGUGAACAGGGUUCAAUUGCAAAAUUGAGAAUUUUACUUUGAUUCUGCCCUAAUCCAAGAGCUGAUCUGUCCCUGUUUAUUUAACAAGAUAUCUUUGAACAUUUAAAAAGUGAAGUAAAAGUAAAUAUAAUUUUAAAUUGUAUAUUAAAAUGUGAUUUUAUUUCUGUUAUUUGGUAUGAGAACAUCAUGGGGUCACUAUUAUUUAACAAUGUCACUUUAAAUUUUUCAUUGAAUACACUGCAUUACAAAUGUUUUUGAAUCCAAUCUUUUAGUCAACAUUUGCAUUUGGAAGCUUAUUAAACUGAGUUGAUGUAAUUGUGAUUAACAUUUCCCUUGUUUUACUGAAAUAUUUUCAACUAGGGUAAAAGGUCAAAUUAUUCCUUUAAUUAUGAUUCAUCUUCUGUUUCUACAUUAAGAUAGCCUAUACCAUUUUCCAAGAUUUAAAAAAUCAUUAGUACAAGCACACUAGAGACCUUUGGAAUCUGUUGAUACAUUCACAUCUAUAUAUACAAUAUAAGAAUUUUUGAAAAGUUUAGAUUACUUGGGUAAAAUAUCACUGAAUAGUAUGAAAAAUAUAAGAAUUAUUCUCAGAUAAUAGGAAGAGUAAUGUGAGAAAAACUUCAACAUUUAGUGAAGUUUUAGUGUGAUGUAUUAGAAAGAAAACACCCAACAAGGACUUAGAAAAUGGGUUCCAAAUAUUAUCUGGGUGUCCAUGGAGAAGUUAUUUGGAUUCUCUGUGUUGUGAGGACUUCAUAUGGGAAACAUGGGAAUUGUAUUACAUACCAAAGAACUAGAUCUGAGAUAGAAAUUUAUAAUGACAACUAACUAUCAUAUGAGUUUACUAUGAGCUUAUCAAAGACUUUUGAAAUUUUGUAUUCCAUGUGGUUAUAGGAAUGGAAAAUAGUCAUAUUAAAGGCAAACCAAUGAUCAGGUGGAAAUGUUACGUAUUUGGAAAUAAAGGCCAAGUUAGACAAGGACAAAUGUGUCAAUCUUCUCUAUCUUUAUCAUGGUUAACUAACAAAUAGAUUUCCUCUCUAAAAUCUAAAUCAAUUAAGUGAAUAGGAAAAACUAAACUCUUGGUAUCAGUAUUUUAUAUCAGGAAAUACUGUCUUAACAAAUCCUCCUAGGUUACUUUACUUCUAGAGCAUAAAUUCAAGUAUCACACAUAUGUUUUCUAAUAGAAAAACUGUUAAAAAGGCUGUCUCUUUUAAGCCAUAUCCCCCUAGGCUCAAUUUUCAGAAGUCUGUCUUUUCAGACUGAUGUUCUUUCUUUUAUUUGAGAAACAUCCAGAUUUCUUGCCUUUCUCAAUUUUCUACAGAUAAGCUAGGCUUACUUUAUUCAGAGUUUAUUGCUAUUUUAAUUGAUUCAAAUUUCUGUAUCAGAGCAUGACUUUGAAAGCAAGAACUCUGGGAUACACUUGUCACUCAUACUGUGAAAGAAUCCUUCUACACAGAUAAACUAUAUACAAUCAAUAUUGAACACUACCCAUCACAACAGGGUAAACGGUACCAUAUAAAGAACAAGACCUCUUCUAAUGUUUCCUAAGAUUUAUAUUUUUUCAAGGUGUACUGGUCCCAGCCACCAGGAAUUUCAUUAUUGUUACUUUAAUACAUCACCAAAAUCUGCACAUUCUUCACUCCAGUCCACAUCAUUAACAUUGUUACUUGCUAUCAUUGUCCCUUUUCUCUUGUCAAAUUCAAUUGUUAUCUACACAAAUCACCAAAUGUAAAUGUGAAACCGCCUCAAAAGUUUAAUGUCACUCACUAUUUUUAAUAAACAUAGCAUUCACAACUAACAAAAACCUGCUUGUUUGUGAUAAAGAAUCUCCUUAUUUUGACUCUGUUCUAAUAUAUAAUAUUAAAACAAUUUCAAAGCUGUUUUAUGGACAACUACAUCCAACAACAAAAAGGAACAUGAGAUAUUUUAAUAAAAGUGUGAAUAAAUGGCUUCCAAACCUCACACUCCUACCCCCAGAUAUAUAUUUGAAGGCAAUUACUUUUGAAAGAUUUGUAGAAUUUUUAUUGAACUUAUUCUCAAAGUUUUUAUUUUUUAAUUAAUUUUUCCUCCUUAAAUCUCUAUUCUUUUUAUGCUUGCUUCCAUUUAGCACACAAAUCAGAGUCAAAGUUUUCAAUGGACAUAAUGUUUUAUACCCAUAAUUAAACUGAGAAUGGAUAGUAUGUAAACUAUCUGAAUAAAGCAAUAGCUGAUAAACCAUAUUAUUUUAAUUUUUAGAGGAUGGGUGUAUUAUUUUGUGAUCAAAAAGUCAAUUUAUAUUUACUAUAAAUUGAACCUCCCAGAGAGUCACACCUUUCAAAUAAAAUUGUAACUUAGUCUGUUUUCCUAGUAAAUAAUUUUUUAAAACUAAAAAACUUACACAGAUCUUUAGCUUUGAAAGUAUGCCUAUCAUAGUAAUUAUUAUAUUGCA
rnacentral:lncRNA from 1 species